AAGUCGUAACAAGGUCUCCGUAGGGGAACCUGCGGAGGGAUCAUUUCCGAAAGCGAGCGAGUGCGCAAGCACGAGCUUACAAAAGUUGGUUGUGUUCUCUAAUUUGAAAAGUGGGUUUGUUGUGGUAUUUGUGUGCUUCUUAAAACAAGUGCACAAACAUCCACAUCUUACAUGUCCAUUUUUUUAAAUAACAUGUAAUCAAAACAUCUUUAACUUGAUAGCUUAUUUUCUAUAAAAAAAUAGACAACUAUCAACGGCGGAUCUCUUGGUUCGU
rnacentral:misc_RNA from 1 species